rnacentral:pre_miRNA from 1 species
UUGGAAGAUUUGAAGACUUCAACUUGUAUACUUGGAGGAUUUGAAGACUUCAACUUGUAUACUUAGCUGAAUUUAAAGAAACUUCAAGC